CUCACAGCACCAGCAUGAAGCCUGUGUGAAGAUCCUACUGCAGUGUGGUGCUAAUUCCAAGGCCGCCGAUGCCAAGAAGAACACGGCCCUUCACUACGCCAUCUACAAUGAUGACCUGCAAUGGUGACCACUUUGCUGGAAUACCAUGCAGACCCUGAAGUCAAAGCGAAGGACGGCUUCACGCCACUCAUAGCUGCUGUGGUGAAGGACAAUGUGCAGGUAGCGGCGAUCCUGCUCACAAAGGCGAACGUGAAUGCCAGCGACUAGUGGAACAGGACCGCGCUGCACUAUGCAUGUACUUACGGCCACCCAGAAGUGGCACAGCUCCUUCUAAAGAGAAAGUGUGAGAUCAAUGCAUGUGAUAGUGACAGAUGCACACCUCUGAUUAAGGCCUCCCAGUACCAGCAUGAAGCGUGUGUGAAGAUCCUACUUCAGUAUGAUGCUAAUCCCAAUGCCGCCGAUGCCAAGAAGAACACGGCUCUUCACUACGCCGUCU